UUUGGCUUGUGCCUUGCCAAACCAUAUCAAUCAAGUUACAGUAACUUGCAUGUACUCCAAAAAUACUAAACCAGAACCAAAGAAGAAUAUUCACUAACUGAAAGGAGGAAACAUUUAUGCUUUUAUCACCGAGACAACUGAUAUGUUUACAAAAUGAUAGAUGCAUGUCCAUCAAUUCACUGUUUGCUCCAUUACACAAAAUACCCAGUUGACAGGACACCAUAUAGGUUUACAAAAUGAUACAUAGAAGACGCAUUGUUAUUGCUCCAUUACACAAAAUGUCUAGCUGACACAAACUGCCAUCUUCAUGGUUCCUCCCUGGUCCUCUUGUAUGUCAUUCCUACAAAGGUCCUCUUGUAUGUCAUUCCUACAAAGGAUUAAAAGAAGUCACCGGUGAAUUCAUGCAUUCAUAGAGAUAAUGGUAAAAAUAAUAAUUGUAUAAAGGAUCAAUGGAACUCCGCCUAUGUUGUCUCAACAUAGCCGGUCCCAAGCCCGGGUAAAGGAGGAGGGUUGUGAUAGGCUUGGCGAGCCAACGUAAAAACUCAGCCACUCUUAUGAAGAUGAAACCCAAAAGAUUUUCGUUGGGGCGUAACCCUCUCAGCGACGCGCCACAUCGGAACCCGGGUGUGGUGGAAAAUGGGCAAGGGCCGGGCCGUCACCCCCCAAGUGGCGCGCCGUAUCUUGAUCCGGAUACGGUGGCAAGUGAGCGAGGAUCGGGUCGUCGCAUCCUUAGUGGCGCGCUACAUCGGCGCCCGGAUUGUUAGAAAUGAAUUUCAAGAAGAAGAAUCUAUUCACAGUCAUUUCUAAAUGCAGCACUAAGCACAUGAGGACCUGCAAAAUACUAGUCAAAAAGCAUCUGAACUUAGGCUGCACCUGACUAUUAUAUUCAUAAAAGCAUCAGAAAAAGCACCUGUAAUUUAGUGCCACAAAUUAGAUUAAAUUGAUAACCAUCCUCUAAUCUCACUGCACUAAGCACUAGCAACUAAGGCUGCAAGUGGAUGCCCAUGGUGCCCACAUCCAAGCCCGCAAAAAUUGUCGUUGUGGACACCACGGGUAAGGUGCCAAAACGAUGUGGGUUGUCCCAUGGGCCGGAAGACUAUGUGCUUCUGAUAGUUCGACUUGUUAUGAUCCAAACUGACAGAGGAACAUGUGGACCGUGUUAGAGAAGAUAUAUUCACUUCUCUAGUUAAUUUUGAUGUUUUCAGAUUAUGCAAGAAAAUGCAAUAUGGUUGUGCACAAACUAAUGUGUUAUCCAUAUGAAGUUCAUCCAUGGUCAAAUCUUUGUACCAACUUAUAGGAACACUUAUGCAAGAUGAGUUGUGGCAAUUGCGGGACGGACGCGGGUAAAUUAACAAUGACCUUUUAGAACUAACCUGCUUAUGCGGUUAUGGCAUAUGGAUGGUAAGAUAUAGGUUCAAUUCGUUUCAUCCAUCACUAUACAUUUAAAUUUCCAUGGAUUGACAGUAGUGACCAUAAUUCACAUGCAAUACACGAUGUAAAAACUGCAAAUACACUGGGAAUCCUACUUGCUUGAAUGUUGAUGCAUAGCAAAUGGAGUACUAACAAAUGAAUGUGAAGUGCAAGCACAAAACUACCAGCCAAGUUCCUCUCCAUCUUCUAAAGACUGAAGUCUACCGAGAAGCCAUAACAAAUAGAUAAUAUGCCUAAAAAUUGAUAGCCUUAAUGUCUUAUAUGAACUUUAUGAUCCUUAAUGUCUGUACUAUGGGUAGAAGUAGCAUUAUUUUGACAAUUUUGAGCAUGAGUGAAACAAAGAAUUGACUAUCAUUUGACCACUGACAUAUAGAACUGACGCUCAAGAACUAUUUAUUCUUACUGGAUUAAGAUUCAGAAAACUAGCAUUCCCAUUUGACGUGUGCAUAGCAUAGAAGACAAUACUCUGUUUUAUAACUUCCUCUGUUCGUUUGGUAAGUUUACCUUCUAUUAUAAUACAAGCAAUCUCCAGUAUAUAAUCUAUUCAGAUGUCCAAAGUCGAAACCUAAAUAGUCAGAAUCCAGCCUGUUAGUCAUGACUUUUGCAUGGUGUAAAAUUGAUAAUAUGGGUUCCAACAGAAGCAACAAAAUUCUAGAAUAACAUAUUGAGAUGUCAAUUAGAGUAGAAAAUAGCACAAAUGGAGCGAAAUGUCCGUAUCAUGCACUUCACAACAGAAAACAACAAAACAAAUUAUUUCUCGACUUAUGAUAUUGUGGAAAUAAGUAAUGAGAUGUAUAUUGUGUAGAGGCAGAGUACAGAUGAUGCACUGUAACCCACAUGACUCAUGACCAACUAUUUUUUUUAAGACAUUCAGACAAGAUUCUUUUGCAGAAACAAUGCAAACCAACUACAAACUGAAUGAAAAAGAGUGUCAUCGGCAUCCAGGUCAAGGACAACAAACAUAUAUGUUAGCAAUAUUCAAUUAGUCAUCCUCUCCCAAAUAUUACAAAGUUUAAAGGUGUACCGACUUUUUACUCAUCACGCGUCUUUGCAGCUUCCUCUCUAUGUUGCCAGAUCAAUCUGCGGAUGCAAAAAGGAUAGGUAAAGAAUGAUUGUUUGCCAAUAAUCAAACUAUGAUCUAGUAAGAGAAAUUAAUUUAACAAGGGUCUAGGAAAGAUGAGCAGUUCUACUGCAAACUAACGAAUAGGGAUACGAGGAAAUUAAGAUAAACAAGCCUGUAGUUGCACAUCAAAAUCCGAAGCAAAUGGGAAGGACUCACAGGUUAGAGGUAGGGGUUGAACGGCGCAGCCGCUGGAAGAAAGGCGACGCAGUGGGCAGAGCGCCACCGCCGGGAGGAACGCAUACCAGCAAGAAUGAGGCUCUGCC
rnacentral:lncRNA from 1 species